rnacentral:rRNA from 1 species
CAGCUGUAAACGAUGCAGACUAGGUGUUUGGACGGCCACGUGCCGUUCUAGUGCCGCAGGGAAGCUGUUAAGUCUGCCGCCUGGGGAGUACGAUCGCAAGAUUGAAACUUAAAGGAAUUGGCGGGGGAGCACCACAACGGGUGGAGCUUGCGGUUUAAUUGGAUUCAACGCCGGAAAUCUUACCGGGACCGACAGCAACAUGAAGGCCAGGCUGAAGACUUUGCCGGAUUAGCUGAGAGGAGGUGCAUGGCGUAGACGUCU